UCGAUUAGCAUGCGAGUCGAGAGGUGCAAGACCUCGGCGCACUGCUCAGUAACACGUGGACAACCUACCCUGUGGAGGGGGAUAACCCCGGAAAACUGGGGAUAAUACCCCAUAGGUUAGGGAGGCUGGAAUGCCCCCUAGCUCAAAGGUCCGCCGCCACAGGAUGGGUCUGCGGCCGAUUAGGUUGUUGUUGGGGUAACGGCCCAACAAGCCUUUGAUCGGUACGGGUUGUGGGAGCAAGUGCCCGGAGAUGGAUUCUGAGACACGAAUCCAGGCCCUACGGGGCGCAGNAGGCGCGAAAACUUUACAAUGCGAGAAAUCGUGAUAAGGGAACCCCGAGUGCCCGUAAAUUCGGGCUGUCCGCCAGUGCAAAAAACUGGUGAAGA
rnacentral:rRNA from 1 species